rnacentral:lncRNA from 1 species
UUACUUUGUAAAAUAGAAGAUGAGACACACAGUAUAUAAUUAAACUUUGUAAGUCGGUGUAUUUUAUGAUAAUCAUGUACUAAAUAAAUUAUGACUCAGACGAUAUUACUAAUAAACUUCUUAGAUUUAAGUUUAUCCAACAAAACUUUCUCAUAAACUUAAAUCUUUUCAUCCUUCAUUCCUAUACUCCAACCUUCCAUGUGCAUCAUUCCACGUUUGUUUCUUCCAUUAAAAGUUUGAUUCUUCAUUUUCUUCAUGCUGGUCGUGUUGUCUUUCACCUAGAUUGGUCCCUCU